rnacentral:tRNA from 1 species
GGAUUGUGGCUCAGUGGUAGAGCACUUGCCUUGAUUAUGUGAGGUGCUGGGUUCGAUUUUCAGCACCA